rnacentral:tRNA from 1 species
GCUUAGCUCAGCUGGUUCAGAGCAUCUGCCUUACAAGCAGAGGGUCGGCGGUUCGAAUCCGUCAGCGC